GACUGCGAACAAAAGGUGGAAAAGCAGGCGUUAACUGUUAAACCAUUCUCUCCAUUGACUAGUCGUGUGCGGACUUGAAGCUUAUUUUCACAGACCCCCACGGACGACGAACUAACUAAGGAAACGCAGACAACUUCUGUUUAGUUUUGCUCACGUGAUAUCUGAUCAAAUUUACACCUUGUAACAUGGAAAUGUCGACUCAUAUAAACCAAUUGGAAAAGUUUUGUUAAACUUCUGUUAACUGCACUAAACAAAAAGAAGGACAAAAACCAGAAACUACAAUUUUAAUAAUUAAUAUACAGGAUCUAUACAGAAGACUUCAAAACCAUUGUGCAAAGAACAAGUUGGUUGACUGUCCUUGUUCUCUCCCCAAGAGAAGCUAUUCAGUGAAAACGGAAAAUGUCGAGAAAGAAAGGACAGGUGUUCAGUGCUGAUUACUACUACACGAAAGCCCUGGACUAUUUGUCUUCAUUCGACGAGGACAGCAGCGCACCGCCGACAGCCUGCCCAUGCCUGUGCGGCAGCUCGGACGGCGACGACAGCAACUUCUCUCUGGGUGGCUUCCGCCCAGGCCUGCCGCAAGAUGAGGGCAACCCAGCAGACGCAGCAGCUACAGCGGAAGCAGUAGUAGUGACCUCCCCUGCGAGGGGGAAGCAGCCAAGACCGGAAGUGACGAGGGCAGAUCGGAGGCGCGCGCCAAGCGGAAGCUGUCCGACGGUCACGUGCACUGGGCGGACGAGUUCCGGAAAGAGUUGACUCGCUGCAAUCCGCGCAAGAGCUACACUCGCCACCCGUCGCUCCACCAGCUGCAGGUGAAGCCCAUUCUUAAGGCGACGACAGAAGACAACACGAGCCAGGGGACCCAGACCCCAUCCGCUAGCUCUCUGCGAUCCGUGUAGAAUUGUCGGCAAUCGGGAAUCAGGUGAUUCCCUUUGAUCGGUGUUUCACAGGCAAAAACUUCAAGAACUAGUCUAGAGUCAAGGUCUAGCAUUUACCUGCAUCGUCAGCAUGUUUGUAAUUGACAUUUCGAUAAAGACCUGCGCAGAACGUGCAGGUGUGAAAGAAAGGACAAAAGAACAAAAACACUCUUACGGUAUGUUUGAAAGAACAGUGUCACGACAGUGAUGAUGGUAUAAAUAGGAUCACAUUCCAAGGGUGUACUGAUCACGGCGAAGACUUCGAAGCAAGUCUUGGAAAGAAGAAAAAAAAACGUUGGGCACCCACACGAUUUUUUUGUCUUGCUUCUGACGCUUGGACACUUUGUGUGAGAGUGAGAAGAAGCUCGUGUGGACGUCCUGUCAAAAAGGAGAAUGUUUUAAUUUUUUUUUUAUUGUUAAUGUUAAGAGUAGUUCUACGGGUCGAAAUUUUGAUUCCUCUGCUCACAUACUGUGCGAUGUUUAUAGCAGGUACGUGCGAUCCUAUGAAAAUGUGAAUGAAUGUGAGUGUGUGAGAGUGAGUGAGAGAGAGAGCGAGAGAGAGAGAGCGAGAGAGAGAGCGAGAGAGAGAGAGCGAGAGAGAGAGCGAGAGAGAGCGAGAGCGAGAGAGAGAGAAAUUAUUUCACAAGAAUCAAAACUACAUGCAAUGUCCAAGAGGUGGAAGUAUUCCCGUAACCUUUUAAGCUGCUAUAGAGGUGUUAAAGACCGCACUUUUUCUCGGGACCAGCUUUUUGUGAGGGCGGUGACCAUCUCUCCAUCUCUACCUUACCUUCCUCAACCUUCUAUCCUUCAGAUACAAAUUGAAGUCAGCUGGGUCCACUGGGGGAAAGUUUACUGCGCUCCACCCUUUUCUAACCAGAUCACCUCCUGGUUAGGAGGUAGCUAUGGACUGUCAGAAUGUAGGGUCAUCUAACCUGGCGACUCUGCCGUUUUUGAAGAGUUUUGUCAAGGCUGACGAUUGCCAACCCUCCUAACGAGCUGGUGUGAUGCCUGUGGUCCUGAAACUGACCAGCGGAUGCUGUUAAUGAGAGAAAGUAGCACUCGUCUCAAGGAGGGAAACCAAUUAAAGCAUGCGUGGGUAUAAAAUCGGUUCAUUCCCACCCUUUACUUGCACUUCUCUUCCCUAAUCCUCUCUCUUGUUUUCUUUCUUUCUUUUUUUUUAUCUCGUCUCUUCCUCCCUACAUUACUUUCUCUUCCACUAGAUGUUUACUAAUCUAUGUAGACCCGGAAAGUUGCUGCAAAAGUAUGUUUAAUUUGACAGUAGUUUUCAGUCUGGGUACAAUUGCUAUGUUUUAAAGAAAUUCGAACAACUUGAUGUUUCUUUGGUAUGAUUACAUCUUGAAAGUUUGCUUCAUUUUCAGCUUGCUUUGUUUUUCAAAAGUUUCUAAAAUACCAGGCUGCAGGAUGCUUUUUUUGUUUGUAACAAUUGCUACAACAUAAAUGUAUGACUUAUGAUUAUCAGAAAGUUUACUUCACGUUCUGUUGUUGAUGUAGCUCGUUGGCGGAUUUUAUUGGCAGUCUAUUUGACUUACGUUAAACUUAGUUAACGGUAAUAAGAUAGCUUUUACAUCAUUUCAUAUUUUUCUCGUGUAAUUAUGAAUGGAAAUAAUUGUUUUUGCAUGAUACAUUUUUAUACCAACCAGUCAGCCAGUAAAUCAGUCAAUCAAACCAGGUACAUGUUAAGAAUUGAAGAAAAAUGUAUGUGUGUGUGUGAGAGAGAGAUGGUGAUUAAAGGGCAGAAUAGGUCACUCUCUAGUGAUUGCAAGCCAAAGUGGUGACUGAAGGGCAAAAUGCUUAACUCGCUGGGUGCUACGAAGCGCGGAGCAUCCUUUUCUGGUACCGAAGAUCUUCCACGAAGACAGAACUCAAGAGACUGGAGUGAGCAUCCAGAGCGAACCACAUGUUGUGAGCAUAACCCUAAGCAUAUCCUCAUGAAGAAGAUCUGGCACUUCUACUCACUAUUUGUCAACCUUAAGUAUCAUUCGAGCGCAGGUGUGAACAAGGAACCCAAUAUCUAGUCCAGCAGGGAACCAAUAUCCAAUUUCAAUUUCCAGACAAACAAUUUCAUGAAAAGGAUUAAUAAAGAUGCUUCGUAUUUGUA